rnacentral:rRNA from 1 species
CCUACGGGGGGCUGCAGUGAGGAAUAUUGGUCAAUGGUCGGGAGACUGAACCAGCCAAGCCGCGUGAGGGAUGAAGGUACAGAGUAUCGUAAACCUCUUUUGUCAGGGAACAAAGGCGGGGACGUGUCCCCGGAUGAGUGUACCUGAAGAAAAAGCAUCGGCUAACUCCGUGCCAGCAGCCGCGGUAAUACGGAGGAUGCGAGCGUUAACCGGAUUUAUUGGGUUUAAAGGGUGCGGAGGCGGUCUGUUAAGUCAGCGGUGAAAGCCCCGGGCUCAACCCCGGCACCGCCGUUGAAACUGGCAGUCUCGAGUGGGAGAGAGGUAUGCGGAAUGCGCGGUGUAGCGGUGAAAUGCAUAGAUAUCGCGCAGAACUCCGAUUGCGAAGGCAGCAUGCCGGCUCCACACUGACGCUGAGGCACGAAAGCGUGGGUAUCGAACAGGAUUAGAUACCCUUGUAGUC